CCGCGAUGAUGGCACUUCUUAGGACACCUUUGGAUUAACCAUGAAAACAAGUACAUUCUGAGCGGC
ensembl:snoRNA SNORD58 Small nucleolar RNA SNORD58